UCUUUUAACCUUAUCCCCUCCUCCUCCUCCUCCUCCUCCUCCUCCUCUCUCUCUCUCUCUCUCCUCCUUCGUUGAUUUGAUCUUCUUUUUUUUGAUUAUUUCUUGGAUUUUGAUUGGGUUUUUGGAGGGGUUGGCUGUUUUUGGUUGGUAUUGGGUGGGGGGUGUUGUUUGAGCUUUGAAUUGGUGGUUGAGUUGGGUGGUGACAGAAGGGAAAGAUGACGAUCCUGUCAAUGGCGGGGAGCUCGGGGGCGCUGGACCCAUUGCCGAAGAGGAAAAUGUCGUACUUUAGCAAUCGGUAUGUGGUUGGGCUCACGGUGACUGCUGGAAUUGGAGGAUUGCUCUUUGGUUAUGACACAGGUGUCAUAUCUGGCGCACUUCUGUACAUCCGUGAUGAUUUUAAGGUGGUCAGUGAAAACAGUUUUUUACAGGAAACAAUUGUAAGCAUGGCAUUAGUAGGAGCUAUGAUUGGAGCUGCUGGGGGUGGGUGGGUAAAUGAUGCAUACGGACGCAAGAGGGCUACUCUUCUUGCUGAUGUGGUCUUCACCAUCGGAUCACUUGUUAUGUGUGCUGCUCCAGACCCGUAUGUCCUCAUAUUUGGAAGGCUCCUUGUUGGUUUGGGUGUUGGCAUAGCAUCUGUCACUGCUCCAGUUUAUAUUGCUGAAGCAUCUCCCACAGAGAUUAGAGGAGGUCUUGUGGGCACGAAUGUACUCAUGAUCACUGGCGGACAGUUCCUCUCGUACCUUGUAAAUCUCGCUUUUACAGAGGUUCCUGGGACUUGGCGCGGGAUGCUUGGAGUUGCUGCAGUGCCAGCCAUUAUUCAGUUCUUUCUAAUGCUAUUACUUCCUGAAUCACCACGCUGGCUUUAUCUGAAGAAUGAUAAAGCUAAAGCUAUUGCUGUGCUUGCAAAAAUCUAUGACCCUGACCGUUUAGAGGAGGAGAUUGAUAUGCUUGCUGCUGCUUCCGAUGAUGAAGUUCAGCCUGAGAAGUCUGUCAGUUACUUUGAUGUUUUCAGAGUCAAGGAAAUGAGACUUGCAUUUUUUGCAGGAGCUGGCCUUCAGGCUUUCCAACAGUUCACUGGGAUCAACACAGUUAUGUACUACAGCCCCACCAUUGUCCAGAUGGCUGGUUUCUCUUCCAACCAACUUGCACUGCUCCUCUCCCUUAUUGUUGCAGCUACGAAUGCCGCUGGGACCGUUGUUGGAAUCUAUCUCAUUGACCGUUGCGGCAGACGCCUUUUGGCUCUCACCAGCUUGUCAGGUGUCAUCAUCUCCCUUCUCAUACUCUCCGGGGCAUUCUUUCUGCAGUCCACCAGUCUCUGUGGUCUGCACACGCUCCAUGGCAACUGCGGGACCAGCCUCGGGUGGUUUGCAGUUGUAGGCCUGGCUCUAUACAUUGGCUUCUUCUCCCCGGGCAUGGGCCCCGUACCAUGGGCGGUGAACUCAGAGAUCUAUCCGGAGGCCUAUCGUGGUGUGUGUGGGGGCAUGUCGGCCACUGUAAAUUGGAUGUCCAACCUGAUUGUGGCGCAGACAUUCCUCACGGUUGUGUCUGCUGUUGGGACUGCAGGAACCUUUUUGAUCAUUGCUGGAGUUGCAGUGGUGGCAUUCGUCUUUGUGGCACUCUUUGUGCCGGAGACUAAGGGCUUGACCUUCGAGCAGGUGGAGAGGUUGUGGAGGGAGAGGGCGUGGGGUAGUGAUGGUAGUCGGCAAAGCCUCCUCGCAGCCGAGGCUUGACUUCUGCAGUAUCUAUUCCUGUUUCGCUUCAUUCGCAAGCUUCAUCUGUUACGAUCUUUAAUGGAUCUAAUUUCUCAGAGUGGAAUGAACAAGUCCAGUUUCACCUAGGUGUUCUGGAUCUUGAUUUAGCACUCCGAUCUGAGAAACCGGCUGACAUUACUGAUUUGAGCAGCUCGGAAGAAAGAUCUUUUUAUAAGACUUGGGAAAGAUCGAACAGAUUGAGCAUUAUGUUUAUGCGGAUGAGUAUAGCGAACAAUAUCAAGUCAACGCUUCCUGAAUGUGACAGUGCUCAAGCAUUAUUUAAAACUGUGGAAGAACGUUUCCGAUCUGCUGAUAAGUCUCUGGCUGGGACAUUAAUGGCUAAACUUACCACCAUGAAAUUUGAUGGUACUUGUGGGAUGCAUGAGCAUAUCCUUGAAAUGACAAAUAUAGCUGCUAAGCUGAAGGCUCUUGGGAUGAAUGUGAAUGAAUCCUUUUUAGUUCAAUUUGUUUUGAACUCCUUGCCUCCUCAAUUUGGAUCAUUUCAAAUUCACUAUAACACUAUUAAGGAUAAGUGGAAUGUGAAUGAAUUGACCAGUAUGCUUGUACAAGAGGAGACAAGACUUAAGCAACAAGGAUAUCAUUCUGUCAAUCUUGUAAGUCAUGGAGCCAAGAAGAAAUGGAAGAAGCCAAGAAAGGGCAUGAAGAGUGGACCAUCCAAGGGUAAAGAGCCUCAUCAUGACACCGAGGUUCAUAAGAAGAAACAAAACAAAGAUAGAUGCCAUUUUUGCAAGAAAUUGGGACACUAUCAGAUGGACUGCCAUAAACGCAAGGCAUGGUUUGAAAAGAAAGGGAUUCCUUACAACCCAGAUGCAAGAUCCAAAUGAGAGUUUUAUCGUUUUGGGGAAUGGGGUUAGAGUUCCUGUAACAGCUGUUGGAACUUAUCGUUUGCUUUUAAAUACUGGUUGUCAUUUAGAUUUGCUUCAGACUCUUUAUGUUCCUUCUAUUUCUAGAAAUUUAAUUUCUGUUUCUAAACUUGAUGUUGAAGGAUAUUUCUUUAAAAUUGGGAAUGGUAGUUUGCGUCUUUUCAAAGACAA